UUAUAAAGUAUUAGCUCAGUUCUGUUAAUUCAGUUUCAGGGUAAACAGUGAUGAGUGAUGGAGGUUUAUGUACAAUGACUUCACUGAAAUGUAUCACUGUGGUUCACUUUCAGUGGAGGAACCAAACUCACUGUGAAAAGAGACUUUUAUUCUAUUUAAACAGGAGAUUCAUUUAAUCACCUCAUUAUCAGUUACAGAUCAUGAUGAUCAGCUUGUCUGAGGUCAGUGAGAUUCUCCUGUAUGAAGACAUUCACAGGUUUUAAUGAGAGGUUUGAACUGUUUUUAUGACACUUCAUCUGAUGUUAGUUAGAUUAUGAGUUAGGAAAGUUCUAGUUGUUCCACUGUGUAAAGAGGAACUAGUAAAUGUUCUCCAGUGCUAGAAUGCAUUAGUGCUGCUGCAGAGUUUCCAGUUCUUUUGAGUUUAGUCUGAGUUCUUUACUGUAAUGAAUGGUGAUGGUCAGUGUUGUUAGAGAGGGAGUUCAGCUGUAGAUUCAGUGCAGUGCUGUGUGUUGAUCUUGAGGGAGUUUGGCUGAAUUAAGCUGAACAUCUGGUGAAAGUGCUGCUCUAUUCUGGGAGAAAGAGGACGACUCAGGCCUGUUCAUGCAAAUCUGAGUUUCACCCCACUGCUCUCUCUCUCUCUGUCUGACUGUUUACUGCUUAAAACUGCUUGCUUGUGUUCAGCUGGGUGGGCUGUGGGGGGCUGGUUUCACUUCAUACUUUAGUGCUGCUGAUAUCUGUGGGUGUGUUGUCGUCAUAGUGUAUCAAACCUCCUUCAACUCAUCAUGGAAUUAUUAAGCUCUGCAUCAGUUGAGUCAGGUGUGUUAGAGUAAGAAUACA